AGCUCCAAAAGCAUAUAUUAAAGUUGUUGCGGUUAAAAAGCUCGUAGUCGGACGCCUGCUUUGGAUUGUUGGUCUACCCACUGGGUAUGUAUCUGGCAUGACUGAAGCUUUUUUUGUGAAUGUCUUAUUGCACUUGGCUGUGUGAUGUGUUUUAUCGAUUUUACUUUGAGAAAAACAAAGUGUUUCAUGCAGGCGGAUGUCUUGAAUAUGUGAGCAUGGAAUAAUGACUCGACGGGUUUUGGUUUGUUGUUGGUUCAAAAUGUUUGGUAAUGAUAAAUAGGGAUAGUUGGGGGCGCUUGUAUUUAAUUGUCAGAGGUGAAAUUUUGGGAUUUGUUAAAGACAUAAUAAUGCAAAAGCAUUCGCCAAUCAUGUUUUCAUUGAUCAAGAACGAAAGUACGCA
rnacentral:rRNA from 1 species